CGCGUAGGCGGUCCUUCAAGUCCCGCGUGAAAUCCCCCGGCUCAACUGGGGAACUGCGCGGGAAACUGUAGGGCUUGAGUUCGGGAGAGGGAAGCGGAAUUCCGGGUGUAGCGGUGAAAUGCGUAGAUAUCCGGAGGAACACCGGUGGCGAAGGCGGCUUCCUGGACCGACACUGACGCUGAGGCGCGAAAGCUAGGGGAGCAAACGG
rnacentral:rRNA from 1 species